CAGCGGUCCUGGCACUAUUUAUCCAGGCCGCAGGGUGGCGCUCGGGUUCGGUCGAUCGAUGGAGGAGAAGCAACGCGAAAGACCGGCAACACAGACGCUGACAAACACCGAAAACAGGGUUUUCCCACCGACGAAAAAAAAAAAAAGCUUUGAAAUUGGGCUAUACAGCGAGAGGAGGAGGCGGAAAUUACUGUGAGGAAAGGUACUUUAGUGUGUGCUAAGAACUUCAUGGAGGAUGAGGUCCGUGUCCAACCGGAGUACAGUCGAUCUCGCACCGUGGGCUGUGACUUCCAGUUUUGCGUGGAAAAGUUGCGGAGACGUUAAAUCACGCGUCAAAACGGGCUGUUUGUGGUGCAGAGCAUUACAUGUCGAGAUGGUGCAGGAGCACGAUUACAACAGCCGUCCAGUCCCAGUGCUCUUGCUGAGGCAUGGAAAAAAUUAAGGAGCUGGAAAAAACACCUGCUAGUGACAUCAGCAUCAUCUACACACCUGCCAGUGACAUCAGCAUCAUCUACACACCUGCCAGUGACAUCAGCAUCAUCUACACAC